AUUGGGGGUUUAGGUCCUAUCUCUUCUGGACAAGACUUCAUGGCAUUCACAAAGCAGUCACACACCCUGUGGCUCAGUUUCGAGAGAAUCCACCAGAGGGCGAUGCUUCUUCACAUGUGGUGGGCUGUCAGGUGGCGAUUUUACAUGCCAGACAGCUGCUGUACAGUUUCUUGCUUAUUAUGAGUGAGGAGUUUCAACAGGAUCCAGUUGAGACUAGCUCUGUCAGUGUUGGUGUCCUGCAAGAAUCAAGGAUCACUUUCUCCCAUGAACAUGUUUCCAGACACGGGCUCAGCCCUCGUGCUCCUCUUAAUGCUCAUGAGGAGUAAUGGAGACUCAGUGGCACAGACAGAAGGCCUGGUUACUCUCACAGAGGGGUUGCCUGUGAUCCUGAACUGCACCUAUCAGACCACUUUCGCCGCUUCUUUCCUCUCCUGGUAUGUCCAAUACCCUAGUGAAGGGCUCCAGCUGCUUCUGAAGACGGCAACUGAAAACCAGAGGACGGAGAACCGAGGGUUUCACGCCACGCUUGUGAAGAGCAGUAACUCCUUCCACCUGCACAAGUCCUCACUGCAGCUGUCAGACUCGGCCCUGUACUACUGCGCUGUGAGUGACACAGUGUGGGAAACUGCAGGGGGAGCUGAGCACAAACCCAGGCUCACAGGAGGGCUGCAGGGGAGCGGCCCUGUGAGGGGGGAUUAUAGGAGCAGUAUUUGCUUAGCUUUCAGAGAAUAGUCCCACAUCUCAGGU